CAGUUAUAGUUUAUUUGAUAGUACCUUUNNUACCUGGNAUAACCGUGGUAAUUCUAGAGCUAAUACAUGCUAAAAANCCUCAACUUCNNGGAAGGGGUGUAUUUAUUAGAUAAAAAACCAAUGCCCUUCGGGGCUCCUNUGGUGAUUCAUAAUAACUUAACGAAUCGCAUGGCCUUGCGCCGGCGAUGGUUCAUUCAAAUUUCUGCCCUAUCAACUUUCGAUGGUAGGAUAGUGGCCUACCAUGGUCUCAACGGGUAACGGGGAAUUAGGGUUCUAUUCCGGAGAGGGAGCCUGAGAAACGGCUACCACAUCCAAGGAAGGCAGCAGGCGCGCAAAUUACCCAAUCCCAAUACNGGGGAGGUAGUGACAAUAAAUACUGAUACAGGGCNUCUUUCGGGUCUUGUAAUUGGAAUGAGUACAAUCUAAAUCCCUUAACGAGGAACAAUUGGAGGGCAAGUCUGGUGCCAGCAGCCGCGGUAAUUCCAGCUCCAAUAGCGUAUAUUAAAGUUGUUGCAGUUAAAAAGCUCGUAGUUGAACUUUGGGCCUGGCUGAUCUGUCUUCCUAAACGUUGUACGGAUUCGGUCGGGCCUUUCCUUCUGGGGAAACCUAUGCCCUUUGCUGGGUGUAGUGGGGAACCAGGACUUUUACCUUGAAAAAAUUAGAGUGUUCAAAGCAGGCCUUUGCUCGAAUACAUUAGCAUGGAAUAAUAGAAUAGGACAGNNCAGUUCUAUUUUGUUGGUUUCUAGGACCGCUGUAAUGAUUAAUAGGGAUAGUCGGGGGCGUCAGUAUUCAAUUGUCNAGAGGUGAAAUUCUUGGAUUUAUUGAAGACUAACUAUUGCGAAAGCAUUCGCCAAGGAUGUUUUCAUUAAUCAGUGAACGAAAGUUAGGGGAUCGAAGACGAUCAGAUACCGUCGUAGUCUUAACCAUAAACUAUGCCGACUAGGGAUCGGACGGUGUUUUUUUAUAUGACCCGUUCGGCACCUUACGAGAAAUCAAAGUUUUUGGGCUCU
rnacentral:rRNA from 1 species